ensembl:lncRNA
GCACACAAAGAGCACUUCAACAGUCUCCUGCCUGUAUAGACCGAAUUUCCUUGUGCAUAAAUGUGGAUGGUGUGCCAAUUUUCAAGUCAAGUGGGACUCAGUUCUGGCCCAUCCUGGCAAAGGCAGAGGAAUCAGAGCCAUUCAUAGUCGCACUUUACAGUGGCACAUCCAAGCCUGAGCCUCUACAAGAGUACUUAAAAGACUUCGUGGAAGACAUCAAUAAUCUCUCAACUAGUGGCUUUCAAUAUAACGGGGCAAUUGUGAAAAUUACGGUGAAAGCCUUCAUCUGUGAUGCCCGAGCAAGGGCUUUUCUUAAAAACAUCAUCUAUCAUACAGGCUAUAAUAGCUGUGAGAGGUGUGAGGAGCUGGGUGAAUGGAAAGGAAGAGUGGUGUUCAACUCAAAAGAGAAAUUCCCUAGUAGGACAGAUGAAAAGUUCUGCCAGGUAGCCUACAAAGGACACCAACAUGGAGAGACCCCACUGUUAAGAGCAGGAGUACCAUGUGUGACGUCAUUCGUCCUCGAUUAUAUGCACCUUGUGUGCCUUGGUGUUGUAAGGCGAAUUCUGCAUUUUCUCUGCCGUGUGACCAACCCCCGGAAACUAUCUACCAGGCAGAGAUCUGAAUUGUCUACAAGACUUGUAGGGCUAAGAAAUGAAAUGCCAAGUGAGGUGGCAAGGAAGCCCAGGGCAGUCACCGAGUUGGAUCGAUGGAAGGCGACAGAGUUCCGCCAGUUCCUUCUUUACACGGGACCUGUGGUCCUUGAUGGACAGGUUGAUCAAGAUGUGUACGAUCAUUUUCUCUGUCUGACAGUGGGAAUGUCCAUCCUGCUUACCACCGAUGCCAACAGGAGGAACACUCUACUCCAAUAUGCAGCUGACCUGCUGACCUAUUUUGUUAACAGUUGUCAAGAUAUCUAUGGAGACAGAUUCACAGUCUACAAUGUGCAUGCGUUAAAGCACAUUCAUGAGGAUGUUGCACAUUUCAGUUGCUCUUUGAAUGAGAUUUCUGCCUUUCCAUUUGAGAAUUUCAUGCAAACCAUCAAGAAAAUGGUCAGAACAAGUCAUGAUCCGCUGACGCAAGUGGCAAAGCGACUGGCAGAGAGGCAGGAUCUGCAGGGGGCAAAAUCAAAACAGGCCAAAGAAAGACUUACCGUUUCAGUGAGGCCCAAGGAUGCCUGCUUCGUCCUAGGGGACAAGAGUGUGGCCAUCAUAGAAGAAGUUGGAGAAAAUGGAAAUUUCAAUUGCAGAUUUAUUCCUGAAAAGCACACGUCAAACCUUUUCAUAACGCCAUGUGAAUCAAAGCUGAUCGAUAUAGCAUUUAUUGGCAAUACCACAUACCGCAUGGCAAGCACAAAAAUCCUUCAAUCCAGUGACCUAAAGAGGAAAGCUGUGUGCAUCCCAUACAGAAGGGGGCAUGCAAUUUUUCCACUUCUGCAUAAUUGAACAACGAGAUUAUGGCGUUUGUGAGGGCUGUGUGGCAGGAGGGCGAUAAAGUUUUUGAAGGGGUGCUGCCAAUAAAUUGGAUUGACGAAGAAAGGAAAGUCCUCAGAUGGCCAAAAAAGGGACGGGCGUCGGCCUGGAAAAACAAAACGAAUCCAGCUGGAGACUGGCUGGACUUUCCCCUCAUAAAAAUAAAAUUUACUUCAGAAAGUGAAAAGGAGUGCACUGAGUUUAAUUAUACAUCGUCAGCACAGACAGAUUCAGAAGACCCUCCAGAACUGGGGAAAAGGGCAAUAAAAAGAAAGCAAUUUUCUGAUUGUAUUGAAGAACCAGAACUAUCAGAUGAAGAACCCAGACCCAAAAAAAGCAAAAGCACAGGACUGCUCAGCAAGCCACCAAAGCCACCAAAUAUGACUAAUGAGACACCCAGUGUCAGAAACCAGGACCAGACCUCUUUGGAUAAUACCCCAACUCUAGAUUCAUCAUAUACCCACCCCCAGAGGAGCCCCUCCCCCUCCAAUCAUUCUGAUGUUGGGGGUGAGUCCUGGCAGGAUAGCUCACCUUCAUCUCCAAGGAACCAGUCCAUAAGGAGCCCCUCUCCCUCAUCCAGUCAUUUUGGGAACCACAGAGGAGGCUCCCAUUCUGGUGGUCCUCCUAGAGCCUCAAACAGCCAGUCCAUAGGGACCCCCUCUCCCUCAUCCAGUCAUUCCAGGAACCACAGAGGAGGCUCUCGUCCUGGUGGUUCUUCUCGAGCCUCAAACGGCCAGUCCAUAAGGACCCCCUCUCCCUCAUCCAGUCAUUCUGGGAACCACAGAGGAGGCUCCCAUUCUGGUGGUCCUCCUAGAGCCUCAAACAGCCAGUCCAUAGGGACCCCCUCUCCCUCAUCCAGUCAUUCCAGGAACCACAGAGGAGGCUCUCGUCCUGGUGGUUCUUCUCGAGCCUCAAACGGCCAGUCCAUAAGGACCCCCUCUCCCUCAUCCAGUCAUUCUGGGAACCACAGAGGAGGCUCCCAUUCUGGUGGUCCUCCUAGAGCCUCAAACAGCCAGUCCAUAAGGACCCCCUCUCCCUCAUCCAGUCAUUCCGGGAACCACAGAGGAGGCUCUCGUCCUGGUGGUUCUUCUCGAGCCUCAAACGGCCAGUCCAUAAGGACCCCCUCUCUCUCAUCCAGUCAUUCCAGGAACCACAGAGGAGGCUCCCAUUCUGGUGGUUCUUCCCGAAGUUCAAACAGCCAGUCCAUGAGGAGCCCCUCUCCCUCACCCAGGAACCACAGAGGCUCCCGUCCUGGUGGUUCUCCUUUAGCUUCAAACAGCAUCAGGGCCCGCUCCCCCAGAGAGAGGAACAGUGUAUUCCCCAUGGAAAAUUACAAAUUCCAGAGAUGUGUGAAGAAAAAAUUGGUGGAGAUCAUGGAGGUGGUGAAAAGAAUUGAGGCGGACCACCAAAGGGGAGGGACAUACCUAUUAAAAACCAUGUCGACCAUGGACGAGGUCCUCAUGUUAGAAGACAAGCUCAAUCAGGAGGAGAGACAGGCUCUGAUGGCACAGUUAAGCAAGGUCGGGGGGAAGGACAUAAAAGACUGUGUUGCAAAAAUUUUGAACAGAUUGAUGACGAAUGGCCUGAUGUCCCAUUUCAAUAUGAUGGGCCAUGGUGGGAAGACAGCUUUUAAAGCAAUGACUCUCUAUGGCGUCCUAACAGCUGCUGUUAAAAAAUGGAGUGAAAGGGCCACCGACCAUGACAUCGGGAGAGCUGUGGCAGAUCAAUUAAAACAUGCGCCUGGACGCUCCGGUGGUGGAGGCAAGAACAAUUAAUAAAGGGA